UCCGAGUUGACCCCGGCAGUCUCCUGCGAGUCCCCGGCGUUAUCCGCUGGCAACACAGGAUAAGGGUUGCGCUCGUUGCGGCACUUAAGCCAACACCUCACGGCACGAGCUGACGACAGCCAUGCAGCACCUGUGCUAGCCCCUUACGGACACCUGCUUUCACAGGCUUUAACUAGCAUGUCAAGCCCAGGUAAGGUUCUUCGCGUUGCAUCGAAUUAAGCCACAUGCUCCGCCGCUUGUGCGGGUCCCCGUCAAUUCCUUUGAGUUUUAGCCUUGCGGCCGUACUCCCCAGGCGGGGUGCUUAAUGCGUUAGCUUCGGCACGGAACGGGUUGAAGACCGCCCCACACCUAGCACCCAACGUUUACGGCUGGGACUAC
rnacentral:misc_RNA from 1 species